AGAAGAAGACAGGACAUAGAUAGACAGAGGGGCAGAGAUAUAUAGAUAGAGAGAGGUACAGAGACAGAGAUGGACAUUCACACAUAUAGAUAGACAGAGAGAACGAGACAAAGAGAAUACAGAAGGGAAACAGGGAUGGAGGGGCAGAAGAAGACAGGAGGACAUAGACAGACAGAGGAGCAGAGAUAUAUAGAUAGAGAGAGGUACAGAGACAGAGAUGGACAUUCACACAUAUAGAUAGACAGAGAGAACGAGACAGAGAUAAUACAGAAGGGAAAUACAGAUAGACACAGGCAGUUACAGAUAGACAGGGACAGAUAUAGACGGAUAUUCAUACAUCCAGACAGACAGAUAUUCACACAGACAAAGGGAUAGAAAUUCAUAUAGAUAGAUUGAAAGACAGAUUCAUACACACGAUCAGAGAAAUAGAUAGAGAUUGAGAGGGAAAGAGAGAUGGGGGAGAAGGGAUGGAGGGAGAGAUUACAAUACAUUAAUCAAUUGUACUUUUUUAUUUUUCCUUUUUUUUCUUUCGUUUGUGAAGAAAAAGAAAGGGAAUUGAUAUUUUUUUCUGACCCCAUUUUCUUCACUCAAAUUUGAUAUAUAACAAUUUUGAAAUAUACAACUUCGAAUAUAAACUUUAAUAUCUACUUUGGGAUAUUACAAUUUUGAUUCUUCAUUACUUUAGUUGAUUUUGAUUGUCACCUGUCUCUCUCAGGGUAUUAAAAUAGUUACAUAAUUACUUUAAAAGCCUUGGAGUGUUAAUUACUCUGACGUCAAUUACGUUAAGAGGUCAGGAGCUUGAUACUCGGACAAAAAAAUAAUGAAAAAUACAAAAACUAGACUAAUGAAUUUUGUAGAAGAGAGAUGGAAAUGUGAGUCACGUGAUCAUGAAAAUAUAGAAGAAAUUACAGUUUUGAAGAUGAUAUAAAUUGGAUCUUGAUGGAUGAACCGGCAGAUGAAUGGAAAAAAAGUGAUGUCAAAGGGAGAUUAUAUAUAAGAUGGAAAACGUAUAUAUAAAAGGAAAUAGGAGUUUUUUUAAUAACUGGAUGUGAGGAUAAGACUGAAGUGACUUGAGAAAGGAAAUUAAAACAAUACAAGCCAAAAAAGUAUAUAGAAAGUUAAAAAGAAAGUUCGAAAGGAGUUUUUUUUUAAUAUCUAAAGCUUAUGAAAAAGAUAAAAACUACCAACAUGAGUUUUUAAAUGAAAGGGGAAAAAAAACAAGAAGAAUAAACUCAAGACAAAAACAAAAAAACAAUAUUAAAUCCAAGACUCAUCCAUCGUACCCAGACCAAAAAAGCACCAACAAUGAAAUCAAACAAACUAAUCAUAGAAAAAAUGUUUAUGUGUGUGAGAAGAUGCUAAACGAUUUAAUGGAUGCGUGCCAACAAGUGGGUUUAAGGUUGUAUUUAAGUGGGUUUACAUGAGCCAGGUGUAGGGCAGGUGAGACAGGUGUGUUUAGGCGUGGGGAAACGAAGCAAAGGUAUAUAAUCAGCUGUCAGGUAUGAAAAUCUCCGUUCAAACUGUCAAGGCAAACAAGCCCCGCCCAUAAUAGCUUAGCAGCCAAUCAGAUUCCAGCCUCUUCCAGCCUCCGCCAAUCACGUGAGAGCAUGAGUUCAGCGCAUCGUUGCCAGAUUGUCUCAGAACAUCACAUUUCCCGGCUUCUGACCCAUUAAUACUGCAAUAAAACACUAGUAAUUAACCAUUUCAACCAUACGUAAAAAUAUAUCUAGUUAUCAGGUUGAAGGAAACAGUUUUGGGCGGUAAAUCUGCAAAUAUAAGAGUACGACUAUCUGGCAACGCUGGUUCAGAGUGGGCGUGGCUUGCGGGUGGACUGGCCAAUGAGGGGCGAUUAUUUUGAAAAUGGGAGGAGCCUAAAUUCAGAGUGGGCGUGGCUUCCGUGUGGGCUGGCCAAUGAGGUACGAGUAUUUUGGAAGUGGGAGGAGCCUGAGUUCAGAGUGGGCGUGGCUUAUUCGCCUUGAUAGUUUGAACGGUAUAAGGCAUGCAAGCUAGGAAGGUGAGGGCAAGAAUUUUACACCUUCAUGCAGAUUAAUUCAUGCUUAGAAGUGCAAGCAAACACGCACACACGCACACACACACAGACACACACACCAACAAAAACACACAUAUAAUAGCCUUCAUACAUACAUACACACAAACAUACAUACACAUCACAUUAUACAUACGGAUCAAAAUAAUAAAUAAAAAAAUCAUCAGCAUUGACCAGAAACAUCAUCCAAAAAUCAUACCAAAAAAGUCAUAUAGGAAAAAAAAUUAAAUACGAAAAAUUAUUGAGUGCUGAAAUAAACCAGCUCGUGAUAUUGUGCUUUAGUUAGAAGAUAAAAGAUAUAUUGAAAACGGAUAAAAAUACAAUCAGAUAUAUAUAAAAAAACAAAGACUGGUAAUGAAAAUAAAAUCACAUUACACCAAAAAACAACAUCGAUCAUUCCAACUUGUGAUAUUGUGGUUUAGAUAGAGAGGUAGAAGAUAAAAGAUAUAUAGACAAAAUGAUAAAAAUACAAUAGAUAUAUAUAUAAAAAAAACCAAGCUGGGAAUGAAAAUAAAAUACCAUUACACCCAAAAAUAUCGAUCAUUCCAACUUGUGAUAUUGUGGUUUAGAUAGAGAGGUAGAAGAUAAAAGAUAUAUAGACAAAAUGAUAAAAAUACAAUAGAUAUAUAAAAAAACAA